UACGUAGGGUGCAAGCGUUAAUCGGAAUUACUGGGCGUAAAGCGUGCGCAGGUGGUUGUGUAAGCUUGAUGUGAAAUCCCCGGGCUUAACCUGGGAAUGGCAUUGAGGACUGCACGGCUAGAGUGUGGCAGAGGGGGGUGGAAUUCCGCGUGUAGCAGUGAAAUGCGUAGAGAUGCGGAGGAACACCGAUGGCGAAGGCAGCCCCCUGGGUUAACACUGACACUCAUGCACGAAAGCGUGGGGAGCAAACAGG
rnacentral:rRNA from 1 species